rnacentral:lncRNA from 1 species
UAUAAGCAAGCUUAUGAAGUUGCUCAUGAAUGUUGAUUUGUAAAUCCAUUUGGUCGUGAUGCAAACAUCCCCUUCUCCACUUAUUUUGGGUAGUCCAACAAUGUUUUCAUCGAUUGACACAAAGUAGCUUUCGCUAAAAUUGACCAACAAAUAAACAUUUUCUACCCAGAACUACGUAAGCUCUGAGUUCUAUAUUGCAUCCAGAGAUAUGUAGGAGCAGGACUUAUAAAUCUUGUCAGGCCCAUUAAUAAAAAAGAUUCAGGUUUAG